AGAGUUUGAUCCUGGCUCAGGACGAACGCUGGCGGCGUGCUUCAUACAUGCAAGUCGAACGCGAAUCGGUAGCUUGCUACCGAGGAAAGUGGCGGACGGGUGAGUAAUGUGUAGAGAAUCUGCCCUAGAGGGGGGGACAACAGCUGGAAACGGUUGCUAAUACCCCAUAUGAGCGUAUCUGAAAUGGUAUUCUUGAAAACUCCGGUGCUCUAGGAUGAGUCUGCAUCUGAUUAGCUAGUUGGGGGUGUAAUGGACCACCAAGGCGACGAUCAGUAGCUGGUUUGAGAGGAUGAUCAGCCACAAUGGGACUGAGACACGGCCCAUACUCCUACGGGAGGCAGCAGUAGGGAAUUUUGCGCAAUGGGCGAAAGCCUGACGCAGCAACGCCGCGUGAUUGAUAAAGCCCUUCGGGGUGUAAAGAUCUGUCAGUGGGGACGAAACUUGACGGUACCCACAGAGGAAGCACCGGCUAACUCCGUGCCAGCAGCCGCGGUAAUACGGAGGGUGCAAGCGUUGUCCGGAAUCAUUGGGCGUAAAGAGUUCGUAGGUGGUUUGUUAAGUUUGGUGUUAAAUGCAGAGGCUCAACUUCUGUUCGGCAUCGGAUACUGGCAGACUAGAAUGCGGUAGAGGUAAAGGGAAUUCCUGGUGUAGCGGUGAAAUGCGUAGAUAUCAGGAGGAACAUCGGUGGCGUAAGCGCUUUACUGGGCCGUAAUUGACACUGAGGAACGAAAGCCAGGGUAGCAAAUGGGAUUAGAUACCCCAGUAGUCCUGGCCGUAAACGAUGGAUACUAGGUGUUGCGGGUAUCGACCCCUGCAGU
rnacentral:rRNA from 1 species